CAUAUGGCUUAUUGUAUCUGCAUAUGAGAUUCACCAGCUCCAUGUAUUUGUCUCUUUGCUAGCAGUUUUUCAUGUGCUCUACUGCAUCACAACCUUGGCUUUGGGAAGACACAAGGGGCUUAUGAUGAAGAAGAAUCUGCAGCAAGAGCAUAUGAUUUGGCAGGACUCAAGUAGUGGGGAACAUCAACUUUUACAAAUUUUCCGGUGUCUGCGUAUGAGAAUGAAAUUGAUGUAUUGAACACUAACAAAAAGAAGAGUACUUGGUCUCUCUAAGAAGGAGAAGCAGUGGCUUUUCAAGAGGUGUAUCCAAGUAUAGAGGAGUUGCAACUUGCAAGCUAAGCUUCAUAACUAAUUAAUGCUUUUGUUGGGUCUGUAUGUACUAUUCCCUAACUUCAGUUCAACAAUGCAAACUCUCUCUAUUCCCACUGAAUCUUA